ACGGCUCAGUAACACGUGGAUAACCUGCCCUUGGGUCCGGCAUAACCCCGGGAAACUGGGGAUAAUUCCGGAUAACGCAUAUAUGCUGGAAUGCUUUAUGCGUGAAAUGGAUUCGUCUGCCCAAGGAUGGGUCUGCGGCCUAUCAGGUAGUAGUGGGUGUAAUGUACCUACUAGCCGACGACGGGUACGGGUUGUGAGAGCAAGAGCCCGGAGAUGGAUUCUGAGACAUGAAUCCAGGCCCUACGGGGCGCAGCAGGCGCGAAAACUUUACAAUGCGGGAAACCGUGAUAAGGGGACACCGAGUGCCAGCAUCAUAUGCUGGCUGUCCAGGUGUGUAAAAUACACCUGUUAGCAAGGGCCGGGCAAGACCGGUGCCAGCCGCCGCGGUAACACCGGCGGCCCGAGUGGUGAUCGUGAUUAUUGGGUCUAAAGGGUCCGUAGCCGGUUUGGUCAGUCCUCCGGGAAAUCUGAUAGCUCAACUAUUAGGCUUUCGGGGGAUACUGCCAGACUUGGAACCGGGAGAGGUAAGAGGUACUACAGGGGUAGGAGUGAAAUCUUGUAAUCCCUGUGGGACCACCUGUGGCGAAGGCGUCUUACCAGAACGGGUUCGACGGUGAGGGACGAAAGCUGGGGGCACGAACCGGAUUAGAUACCCGGGUAGUCCCAGCCGUAAACGAUGCUCGCUAGGUGUCAGGCAUGGCGCGACCGUGUCUGGUGCCGCAGGGAAGCCGUGAAGCGAGCCACCUGGGAAGUACGGCCGCAAGGCUGAAACUUAAAGGAAUUGGCGGGGGAGCAC
rnacentral:rRNA from 1 species